AGCAUCCUCUGAACCUGCCAAUUGCUCAACCCUCUCCUUGGAAUUUCUGGUUUGAUAGACAGUGCCCAGCAGGGAUCAAAGGAGAGGUGAUUGACAGCUCACCUGGGGAAGGAAACUUCAGGGAGGAACCAGGGGAAACCGAGGCAGGUCAUGACAUCACACUGCAACACACAAGAGUCCAUGAGGGAGCAGAGAUUCACCUGCAGUUCAGGGAGGACCCUAUACCAGAUGCCCGAAGGAGGCCAUGACUGUAUGAGAAGAUCAUGACUGGAGCAAGCUCCUGGCAGGCAGGACCUGUGGCCCCAUGGAGAGAGGAGCUCAAGCUGAAACAGAGGAUGGAAAACAGGCUAGAUACAGAUUUUUGUUAGGAGAAAAGUCCCAGCUGUGUGGCAUGCCCAAUUGAAAUGGAUGAUAGCUUCACCUCAGCAGUUUCCCAGUUGUAUCCAUGCCUGACAGAUGGGGACUGGCAAACAGAGGUAACCAAUGAUCUCUGGAUAAUGUGCCUUCAACCACUCCAUGAGAAAUGAGAGCCUCUGUUUUGUGGUCAGCAGGGUCACAGUCAGUCUUGUGAUUAAACAAUAGAGGCUCAGGCUGCUAAUCAUCCUGUCCUGUCUACCUCAAGAAAGUCCCAGUGUGAUGUCCUACCCCAUAAGAUGAGAGGACACAAUAGACUGAGAAACAUGGAUCUCAUGCCAAGACUUCAGAGGGACUUUCCACGUGGCACCUAUGAAGCAAGCACUGUUCAACCUGUCUGAGCCCCAGCCUCAGUGCAGUCUGCAGGGGCAUGCACCCCAGGAGUGUCCCCUGAUGACCCCAGCCAAGGAGUCUUGGAUCAGCCACCUGGAGCUCACAGACACAUCCUCCAGAAAGAGGAACUGCAUGGCCAGCUUCUGGGAUGAAGGGGAGAGGCUCCUCCAAAUGCCAGCAAGGUCAAAUACUGCUCCAGCAAGGAAGCUUUUGGCAGCAGAGGAUAAGCCUUGUCACUGGCUGAGUCCUGUCUUCAGGGGCCAGAGCAUGCACUGAAAAUCAGCUUGGGAUGCCCAGAUGCCCAAAGGCUUUGUUACUGCCCUCUUGCCAUGAGAUGUGAAAGGAGCAGAAGACACGUGGUCACCCUCGGGGAGGAAGAUCAUGCAAAAAGAAACCAUGGAUCCAUGUGUUCUGGCCAAACCUUGGCCUCACGUUCUCUUCUGAUCAACCUCCAAACCCCACCAGAGCCAGGGUUACCUAGCCCAGCCUUCCCAGCAUUUCCCACUGACACACCACAGUGAACAGCAGAGCUUCUGAAAAACCAGACCUUGUGCUGGUCAGCAAGGAGAAAUGCCAAGUCCUGCCUCCAGGGAGGAGCAGGCCCAGUCACCACAACACACUGAGUUGACUCUGAGCCAGUGAUCCAGGCCAGCAGAGACUGCAACUACAGCUUCACUUCUGCUAAAUCUCAGGAGUUUCCACUGCAGGAAAGCCCCCCACCACUCCACAGCACCCUCUAUGCCAGCAGCCUUUGUGCCUAGCUGACAGCAGACCAG